rfam:Canis lupus familiaris chromosome 33, whole genome shotgun sequence.
ACAUUCACUUUAGCAACGCAUAUACUAAAAUUGGAAUGAUACAGAGAUGAGCAUGGCCCCUGUGCAAGGAUGACACACAAAUUCAUGAAGCAUUCUCUAUAUUU